rnacentral:lncRNA from 1 species
CGAGGGCUACGCUUUGAGUCCAGAACAUGAGAACGGAGCAAAUCAAAAAUUCGAGACUCACCAUGGUUGUGGAGCUUUGCAUUUCUUGGAUUUGAGGUAAAGUGAUUUUUUUCUUGUGGGGUUUAAUCUGGAUUUGUGUAUGGCUUAUAUAAAGUCUAUGAAGAUAAUAGUUGGGGUAUAUAAUCCGAAAUGAGAAACUUGGUUCAGUUUGAAAUAGAAAUUUCAGAAUGUGCCACUGACAUUGUGUCGGACACCUAGGUGUUUGGUGUCGACACCUUUGAAUUGUGCAUGGUUAUUGUGGCUACUGACAUUUGUGGUCGCACCUAGGUUUUUGGCGUCGAACAUCUUGAACAGUGAAUUUGGCUACUGACAUUGGUGUCGACACCUAGGUUUUUGGUGUCGACAUCUUGACAGUGAUUGCUACUGACAUUGGUGUCGACACCAAAUUUUCAGUGUCGACACCUGAACAGAAAAUUUAAAAAUUUGCCUAUUGACAUUUGGUGGUCGACACCAACUUUUCAGGUGUCGACACCUUGAAUUAGUAAAAAAAAUUAAAUAAUUUGUUUUAAAUGAUUGUACUUUUAGCACAAUGUAUUUUGUACAUGUUAUUAUUGCAUUAAUUUUUUUAAAUGUACAAUGCUUAUGUGGAAAUUAAAGAAUGCCAAAUUAGUGCAUGUGUACUUGGAAUUUUGAGAUGAGUUUUAUGUAAAUGGUAUGAGUAUUGUUCAAUAAUAGUUUAUUAUUAUUGAUGAUUUUGAAGGCAUAUAUUGCAUGUUGUGGUAUUAAAUUGUGUAAAUGUAACAUGAAUUAUGUGGUUGAAUGUGAAAGAGUAAUAAAGUUAUGGCUUGUGUGGAAAGUUAGGAAAUGGUUUAACGAAUAACUCACUAGAUAUGUCAAGUUUAGUACAUUAGUGUACCGGGUAAGUUGCUUGGAUUAAGCUGAGUUAAAGUUCUAGAUGGCAAGUGGUAGGAGGGAUGUCAUAGCCCACGGUGAAAGUCCGGGAAUUGACAAUAAAGUCCUAGAUGGCAAUAACGGAGGGCAUGUCAUAAAACCACCCGGUGAAAGUUCGGAAAGUUGACAAAACGAAAGUCCUAGAUGCAAACGAUACGGAGGGAAUGUAAUAGCACACGGUGAAGUCACAAGAAAGUGACGGGGGUUGUCUCACGUGCUUAGUGCAUAGAGGUUGGUUAGAAAAUGGACCAGGUGUGUCAUUCAAAGGAGUAUGGUAAGUGGAUGAUGUGUGGAAUUAUGGAUUUGUAAGUAUGUUUUGGUGUGAAUGAAAGCAUAGUAUUUAAAUCGUGUUUUCAUCAUAAAUUAUGUAUCAGGUUUUGGCUUGAGGCUUCAAGUUCAUGUUAAAAAUCUUUUCAGGUAAAUCACCUUUAACUAUAAAAAUGAAUUUCAGGUACCGAGGGUUAUCCUGAAUCGUGAGGCAGUGGUUGUCUGUAGUGUAAUUUUGUUUUGGGAUAAACAUGUGAGGGAUAUUUUGAUAAUUAUAUUAUUCUUUUGGCCCGGUGUGGGCAUUGUCCAUGGGAUAUCAUUGUUUUGUAUGAUAGCUCAUGGAGAGCAUGGUCCACGGGAGGAAUUAGUUGUCGUACUCCUGACAUCAUGAUUGUAUAUUAUUAUGUUUAUUUAGUUUGACUUUUUCGCAUUUGAUUGUUUGCUUACGUAUCCGGAUUUUGGUUUGACGGUGCAUGACACAUGGUCUCAAGCUUUAGUUCGAAUACCUAUGAGCCAUGGGGUGGUUAGACCACAUUUAGUUUAAUGUCUAAGUAUUGUGAGGGGGUUACGUUAAUGUGUUUUCUAUGUUAUAGGGAUAACAUGAACAUACAAUGCAAUAUGUUAUUGAUUGCUUAUGUAUGCUGUUAUGAUUUUAAAUCAUAAGUGAAUAUGAAUUAUCUUAUUAUUUUCUUGUGGUAUUGUUGUAGCACAUGCCAUCAACUCAAUGCGAGAGGUCGCGCAAAUCACUUACGGGAGCUCGUGGGGCUCGUGAGCUCGUGGAGCUCGGCGGAGCUCGUAGCAUCAUGACCGAGGAAGUAUGAUGGGAAUCACCCAGUGUCUGUGAUGGGAGUGGGGCAAGUGCUCCUUGAGGGAAUGCGGAGGGUGUUCCACCUACAGUUUUGGAUGGCGCCGAAUUUAUGCAAGGAGUGUUCACCGCCAUUGACACAGUGGUGAGAAACACUGUGCAAACAUGCAAAUGCAUUUAGAACGGCGGAAGUAGGGCUACCAUGGCCAUGAAGGCCUUUCUUCAACUACGUCCCACCAAUGUUCAAGGGAUAACCGGAUUCGUUGGUUGCGGAAUUGGCUUGAACAAUCCCCAGAGGCCCCCCGUUGGAUACCAAUCUUGGUGACUGAGGAAGACUUGAGGUGUUGUUGCAUCCUAUCAACUGUAGGGGGAUGCCCUCCAAUGGUGGAAGACCGGGAGGAAGUGGUAGCAAAGAAGUGGAUCUUUCCAGAAGGUUUUUCCCUGAAUCAUUAUUUUACGGAUAACUGCUAAGGAGGCCUUGAGAAUGGAAUUUAUUAAUUUGGUUCGAGGGAGCAUGACUGUGGCUUAAUAGAACCCAGGUUGAACUAGCUUGCAAGGUUUGCCAAAGCAUUUGUUCAACGGAAAACAAAAGGAGGAGAAAGCAAAACAGUUUAUGCCGGGGGCUUAGGCCGUCCAUAUGAAAAUAUUGAAAGAAAAUGUGAUGCAAAGUUUACUCGACGAUGUUUAGCGCGGACGUGGCCAUCGAGGAGGCUUGAAUUAGACUAGAAAGAUUCAAAAUCCUAAGUCACAACAGCGUGAGGGACUAGCAAUCAGUCCAUGAGGGGCGUUCUUCUAAGAAGUCAAGGAAUUCUAACUACCUACUGGCAACAACAGCAAUAUCCUACGAGGUCUUUAACCCUCCACAUCUGUUAACAUCGGGCCAAACAUCUCGGGAGGGCCGAUUUAUUUUGGUUGUUCAUCAACCGGUCUCGUGUAAGUGGACUCCCACUGAGGGUCAGCAUUGGCAGUCGCAGUAGAGGGACAAUCUCACAUCCCGGCAAGUGGACAAUCACUAUCCGGGGGCCACCUACCUGCUUUCGGGGUGGUCAAAUUGGUCUAUCAGUUGACGUGCACGCAAGGGAGAACAGAUCAGGAAGCUACGUGGAUCGCAAUAACUCUAUUCGUUCAGUCCGGGCCUCGGGGCUACUCCAUCAAUUACAUCAGCACAUACUUCUAUCAGUCCAUACCACAAACUGUAUGCUCAGCAAGGUCAGAGGACGCGGGAACGGGUUUUACGCUAUAACAUUCACAGCGGUACCGUCUGGGACAACAGGACAUCGGACAAUAAUUGGAUACCUCUGUUGUACGAGGUACUUUACCUUAUGUUUAAUUCGUGGGCUCGUGUUCUUAUCGACAUGGGAGCAUCACAUCAUUCAUCUUAUCAUCUUUUGCUUUGGCAUUGGGGUUAGAGAUUAGGUGUUAGAUUCAGUGGCUUAGUAGACACUCCAGUUGGGGGUAGAUCAACUUUUGAAGAGCGUUUUGUAGAUCCUGUGGGUGAGAUCGCGGAUCGACAUUUCGUGUUUAACUUUAUUUUAUUAGACAUUACUUUCGUUUGACGUACUCCUUGGUAAUGGAUUGGGAUUUUACCGGCUAUCGGGCCAUUAUAGACGUGUCCGACCUCUUGACCGUUUGUAACACCUGAGGGAAUCGUUUUCAAUUUAUGGGAGAUUGAGGUAGUGGUUUUGUCCCUUCGUCUCCUGAUGUGCGUAGCAAGGGGCGUUAAAUUUUCUUUUCUUUUUCUCGUUGAGCUUUGGUCAAUGAGGUUAAGCCUAGUUAGUGUGUCCUUGCUACCGGUUGUUUGUGAGUUUUCGGAUGUCUUUCCUAAGGAUUUGAACAGGAGUUAACCACCCCGCAUAGGGGAUUUGAGUUUCUCCAUUGAUCUUAUAUCGGGCACCGCGCUACUCAGUACCAACCACCUUAUCGUUGUGCACCAUUAGAGUUGCAGGAGUUGAGGUUUCAAAUUCAAGAUUUGUUGGCUAAGGGUUUUUUAUCCGCUAUGCAUCCACCAUGGGGAGCUUCGCUUUAUUUGCUAAGAGAAGAGUGAUAAAUUCUUAUAAUGUGUGUGUAGACUAACUAUCGCACUUGAAUCGUGUGACGAGAAAGAAUAAGUAUCCACUUCCAAGGAUCGAUACUUGUUUGACCACUUGAAAGGUUUGAGCUGUUUCUCGAAAGUUGACUUGAGAUCGGUAUCAUCAAUUGCGAUCCAUGAGGGGGGGGGGGGGGGGGGGGGGACAUUGCGAAAGUGGCUUUUCGCUCACGCUAUGGGCAUUAUGAGUUUCUUGUGAGAGCCGUUUGGUUCUUACGAAUACACCAGCAGCUUUCACAUGGACUUGAUGAAAAUCGUAUCUCAAUCCAUACUUGACCGUUUCGUGGUCCGUGUUCGUGGACGACAUCCUUGAUCUACUCGCCAUCGUUGAUUCACAUGAGGACAUUUGAUGAUAUUGUUGUCAGUCUCCUACAGAGCACCGUUUGUUCGCUAAGUGUUAGCAAGUGCGAAUUUUUGUUACCUGAGGUGAAGUUCUUAGGUCAAGUUUUGUGGUCAGGAGUGGAGUAGCUGUUGAUCAAUCAAAAAUUGAGGCAGUGAUUAAUUGGGACGCCUGAAGACCGGAUUUUGAAAUUCUAGUUUUUUAGUUUAAGGCUGGUUACUCACCAAGAUUUGUAGAGGACUUUUCCACGAUUAGAGGCCCAAUGACUCGACUUACGAGGAAGGAAUUCAUUUUGUUUGGAACGAUGCAUGCGAGCAUUCUUUCAGAACUUAGAAGAGAUUGACUUUGACUCAUUUUUUUAUACCUGAACGAGGGUUGGGGUACCACCGUGACUGUAUACUACUUCACGGAUGGCUUGGGUUGCGUGUGGAUGUAGUUGGAUAACAGUGAUUGCGUAUGGUUCUCGUCAAUUAAAUAAUCACGGACAAAAUUAUCCAACACAUGACUUGGAACUUGCGGCCGUUAUUUUGCUUGGAAGUUGGAGGCAUUCUUGUAUGGAGAGCGGUUUUUGAAGUGUUUUCAGACCAAAGAGGCUUGAAGUACUGUUCAUCACACACACAGAAAGACUUGAACUAAGGCAACCGACUUUUGGAUGGAGUACAAUGGAAGACUAUGACUUCUAUUUACAAUAUCAUCCCCGAAAAGGCCAACAUUGUGGCCGAUGCACUUAGUAGGAAAUCUCUUAGUGGUUUUGUCACGCUUUCAGCCAUGAGUGGCAGAUACUUCAGGAUAUCGGGUGGUAUUAUUUACUUAUAGCGAGAGAAUGAGUUGUUACAUUGUUCACGUGUCUACAGGAAACAUCUUCAUCAAUAGGAUUAUGAGGCACAACAAACAAGAUGUGGAGGCCAAACGAUUUGCGAUCUAUGCUAGAGGUGUAGGGACAACAUGUUGGGUUUUGCAUUCGGAUGGGGGUUUGAUGUAUAAGUCUAGAUGUUCGUACCUUUGUCUUAGUAGAGACAACAUUCUUCUGAGUUUAUUCAUCACGAUUGACAGUUCAUUCCUGGAGGAUAAAGAGUAUCAUGAUUGUGUCGCCAAUUUUGGUGGGAGACGAAUAAAAGAAAGUUGCCUGUGUUUCGAGGUUUGUUUGACUUGUCAGCAAGUAGUAAAAGCCAAAUACCAGAACCACCAAAGGUUUGCUGCAACAUUGCCAGUUGCAGAUGUGGAAGGAAAGGGGAGCACAUCAUAUGGAUUUGUUAAGGAUUUGCCUAGAUCAUUGGAGGGAUUAACGCAUUUGAGUCAUAGUGGAUAGUUUGAUAAAAUCCGCCCCCCAUUUUCUUCCUAUCUGUCUAUCAAAUUUGAUAGAAGAUUCUGGCGUUCUUUAUAUUCGUGAAAUCGUUAGACUUACAUGGGGUUUCCAAUAUAUAUCGUUCGGAUAGAAAGAUCCGCGUUUUACAUCGCGCUUUUGAAGGGGAUGGGGGAUGCAAUCAGCACUAGGAUCGGAUUUGAGGCGUAGCCACGGCAUUUAUCCUCAGACUGGACGGGCAUUCUGAGCUACGAUUGCAGGAUUUUGAGGACAUGCUCAUCGAGCAUGCGUACUUGAUUUUGGGGGGAUCUCGGGGGAAAUUAUCUACAUUUGGUAGAGUUGCAUAUAACAAUAGUUAUCAGGCGAGAGCAUCAGUAUAUGGCACCUUUGACGGCGUUAUACGGAAGACCAUGUGAUAGGUCACCUGUAUGUUGGGACGACGUUGGAGAGGCAAACACUUGCAAAGUACAGAAUGGGUUCGUGACACGACCGAGAAGUAGGUUAGUCUAGUAUUGAUUAGGAAGCGUUACUCGGCGCAGGAGUCAUAAAAAAGUUACGCUGAUAAGGAGGAAAAGUCAUUUUAGAAUUUGUCAUUGGGGAUUCACGUAUUCUUGAGGGUUUCACUAAGAGAGGUUUGAUGCGCUUUGGACAUAGCGGAAAAGCUAUCACCAGGUUCAUUGGACCUUUGAGAUCUUGAUAGUAUUUGGCUGUAGCAUAACGUCUUGCCGUGGCACCGAGUUGGCCAAUGUGCAUAAUGUGUUUCAUGUUUUCAUGUUUCGGAAAGGAAAUUGAUCCCGAUCCUUCACAAGUUUUGAUUGAAGAUAUUGAACGUAAACGAGGAUUUGCCUGUCACGGAUGAGGAGCGGACCGAUUCGUGUGUUGGCUAAAGGGAUCAGUUAUAGAGGAAAGACUAUUCCAUUGGUGAAGGUUUAUGGCUUCUCAUGGCUAGAGGAGUUACGUUGGGAGCGCGUGUAGAGGUGCGCGCAACGUAUUCAGAUCUUUUAAAAAAAAAAGAUAUCGGGUAUGUUGUUUAAUUUCGAGGACGAAAUUUCCUUAAGGUGGGAGGUUGUAAGGGUCAAAAUUUUUCUUUUUUCUUUUAUGACGUAAUUAGAUGCAAGGGUGGAUAUCAUAUAUAUUAUAUAUAUAUGUGUAGGGAUAAUAUAUAUAUAUAUAACUUGGGCAUGUAUAAAAAAGUUGAUGAAAAUUUUUCUGGGGAAGUUGGGUGGGAAGAGAGUGGGCCAAAUUAAUUGGACCCAAUGUUGAUUUAGUUGGGUUUGUGUGAUUGUGCUUAGGCCAAAAAAAAGCCCAAGGCCAAGGAGGCAUUAGUGUCAUUUAUAUUGUGACCUAAAACACAAGUAUUGCCAAUUUAUUUUGCAUUGAUUGUCUUCUUCUUUCUCUUCUCUUUCUCUCUCUAAGUUUAGCCAAAGAGGGGUUGUGAUGUGAGCUUAGAUACAGUGAGUUAGAGUGAAGUUUUGAUAGUGGUUCUUUGGGAGGAAACAUCUACUCGACGAAGAGGGUUACGCUUUGAGUCAAGGACAUUUCGAUCGGAUCAAAUCGGAAAUUUCGAGACUCACCAUGUUGUGGAAGUUUUGCAUUUAUUGGAUUUGAGGUAAAGGGUUUUUUGUGGGGUUUAAUCUUGGAUUUGUUUUAAAUGGCUUAUAUAAAGUCUAUUGAAAAAUAUUUGGGUAUAGCAUCCUAAAUGAAGGAAACUUGGGGUUUAGUUUGAAAAUGAAAGUUCAGAAUUGGCAUGACAUUUGGUUUGUCGACACCUAGGGUGUUGGGUAUCGACACAUUUGAAUUGUUGAAAUUGGUAUUUUGGCUACUGACAUUGGUGUCGACACCUAGGUUUUUGGUCGACACCUUGAACAGUGAAUUUGCGUACUGACAUUUGAUGUCGACACCUUGAAUAGGAAAUUUAAAAAAUUUGCCUACUGACAUUUGGUGUCGAUACUAACUUUUCAGGUGUUGACACCUUGAACGGUAAAAAAAAAAAAUUUGACACAUUUUUAAAUAUUUGUGUUUUUUAUUUUUUUUUUAAAAAUAGGCCGGUUCAAUAAAUAUCGGCCGGUUUAAUCCGGUUCAUAUGCAUUUCUGAUAAAUUAAUUAAAGCGUACCGAUUCAUAGUCCGGUUUCCAGUUUAAUUGGUUCAACCGGCCAAUUCGAUUCGAUUUUUAUAACUAUGUUCCCACACACCCGUGUCAAGGGGUGGAAAAAUAUUUUUCGUUUCAAAAUAUAAAGCGUGUACUAUUUAUACAUCUCUAUCCAUCAUUAGCAUGUAAGAUACAAAAUUUUUCAUUAACAAAUGACAUUUGAUACAAAAUGUUAAAAAAAAAACUUUUCUUAAAACUCUUUUUAUUUAAUUUUAACUUUUCUCAAAACAUUUAAAAAAGUUCAAAACAAAAAAAAAAACUCAGAAAUUAACAGUGAUCAACGGUUUGGUUUGGUUAGGUUUAGUAGCCAAAUGGCCCAAAUCAUAAACCAAACCAUGACCAACGGUUUGACUUUUUUUCUAAAUCAAAACAAACUGAACCGUGAACAUUAAUAAAUUGAACCGAACAUUGAAUCACCAAAUGUGUAUGUAAAAUGAAUACAAAUUCUUGAAUUGACACAUUUUUUCAAAAAAAUUUGAGAAAAUGGGAGAGAGUAAUACAUACCUCUCCUUGUGCUAAAUUUUUUGAUAAAACGAUAAAAUUGUAUUUAUUUUGUAGGGUUUCUAUAUUUUUUUUUUCUCAACACAUCACUAACUUGAUGGAUAUUAUCUUUUUUUCUGAAAAUAACUCUAUUUAUUUAAUUUUUCUAAUAAAAUCAAUUAUUUUUAAUUGAAAAUAUAAAAGCCCCAAGUUUAACGACAAUCUUUUCAUUUCUAUAAAAACAAAUAGCGGGAAGAAUGUUGAUAAUAGUUUAAAAGUAAGAAAGAUCUUUGUUAGUUUAGAAAUUAUAUGAGAGAUGAUUGUAUUUGUCAGAGAUAUCAUUGUAUUUGUCAGAGAUAUCAGUGAAAUUUACCUAAUUUGUUUUUUGUAAAAGUUAGCUUAUUGUUUUUCUUAAAAAAAUAUCAAAGGUGUAAUAUAAAUUUCAAAUAAAUUUUAGUGAAUAAUUUUUUUAAAUUAUACUAAAAUUCAUAUAUUUUAGACUCACUCAAAAAAAUAUAAAAUUUUGAUAAAAUAAUUAAAAACGUUUAUUAAAGACAAAAAUCUCUAAAGCUAAAGCAAAUUAAACAAAUUUAAAAAAAUGGUGUGCCACUUUUAUACUCUUAUUUUCUCUUAUCGAUUUUGUUUCUUUAUUAAGUAAAAUUACUCAAAUAUUCUUUAACUAUUAGGGGUGAUCAACUCUUCGGUUUGGUUAGGUUUAGGAUCAACUCAUAAACUGAACCAUAAACAACGAUUUGACCAUUUUUUUCAACCAAAACGAAUUUAACCGUGAACAUCAGUAAACUAAACCGAACUCUGAAUAACCAAAUGUGUUUGCAAAAUGAACAUACAUUCGUUAAUCAACACCUUUCUUGAAAAAAAAAAUUGAGAAAAUGGGUGAGAGAAAUGCAUUCCCCCUCUCUUCUUAGGCCCUGUUUGGUUACCAAAAUAAAUAUUUUUUUUCACAUUUAUAAAUUAAAAAAGUGACCGAAAGUCAUUCAUGGCGGCUAGCAGCAUUCUCAAAAUAAAAAACGUGUAAUAUUUAUACCUCCCUGUCCAUCAUUAGUAUGUAGUGCAUGAUUAACAAACGACACGUGACACAAGAAGUUAAAAAAGAAAUGGCUUUUCUUAAAACGACUCUAUUUAUUUAAUUUUAACUUUUCUCAAAAUAUUUUAAAAAGUUUAAAACAAAAAAAAACUCAAAAAUUAAAGUAUUUAAAAAUUUUAAAAAAAGUUUUGUGCUAUUUUUAUACUCUUAUUUUUUUAUCGUAUUUUUUUUCUUUAGUAGGUCAAAUUACUUAAAUACUCCUUAUAUUUUAUAUUAAUUUUACUUUUAAGUAUUAAGAGUGAUCAACGGUUAUGUUUGGCUAGGUUUAGGGCUAAAUGUCCCAAAUCAUAAAGUAAACCAUGAACAUUGGUUUGACUUUUUUUCUGAAUCAAAACGAACUGAACCUUGAAUAUUAAUAAAUUGAAUCGAAUUGUGAAUAGCCAAAUGUGUAUGCAAAUUGAAUACACAAUUAACACAUUUUCUCAAAAAAAAUUAAAAAAAUGGGAGAGAGUAAAUAUAUACUCUCCUAGACUAAUUUUUUGAUAAUUAAAAAUUGAUAAAAUUGUUACUUAUUUGUAGGUUUUAAAUUUGUUUCUCAACAUGUACAUUAAAACUGAUGGAUAUUAUAUUUUUUUCUCAAAAUAAUCAUUUUUUAUUUUUCUAAUAAAAAAUUAAUUUAUUUUUAAUUGAAAAUAUGUAAUUAUUUUUAAUUUUUAACAAAAAUCUCAAGAGAUGUCAAUGAAAUUUACCUAAUAAUUUUUUUUAAAAGUUAGCUAAUUGUUUUUCUUAAAGUAAUCCAAAAGGUGUAAUGUAAAUAUCAAAUAAAUUUUAGUAAAUAAUUAUUUUUAAAUUAUAUAAAAAUUCUUAUAUUUUAGACUCACCCGAAAAUAUAUAAAAAUUUUAAUAAAAUAAUUAAAAACAUUCAUUAAAGAUAAAAAAAAAAUCUAAAACUAAAGUGGCUAAAAAAUUUCAAAAAAAGUUGCGUUCUGUUUUUAUACUAUCAUUUUCUCUUAUUGUAUUUUUCUCCUUUAUUAGAUGAAAUUACUAAAAUACUCCUUAUGUUUUGUAUUAAUUUUAUUUUAAUUAUUAAAGGUGAUCACGGUUCGGUUUGAUCAGAUUUAUGGUCAAUUCGUAUAUCAAACCAUGAACAAAUGUUUAGCCUUUUUCUGAACCAAAUCGAAUGAAAUCGUUAACAUUAGUGAACCGAACUAAAUAACCAAAUGUGUAUGCAAAAUGAACACACAUAUCAACACAUUUUCUCAAAACAAAUUGAGAAAAUGGGAAAGAGUAAUACAUUCCUCUCUCUUUUUAGCCCUGUUUGGGUACAAAAAAUUUUUUUUUUUUUUACAUUUAUAGAUUAAAAAUUAAAAUGAACAAAACAACACCACUCUAAAUAAAAGCUCUCUAAUGGCUAUGUAAACUCACCCAAAAAAGAGUUAUCCCAAAAAAACAAAUUUCUUUAACAAAAAACCCCUUCCCAAACCAGACCUUCCCCAGCUCUCUCCUUUCCUUCAAUUUUUCAGAUUUCAAUAUUCAAAACAACUCUAUUUAUUUAAAGCUCUCUAAUGGUUAGCAAAUGACACUUGAUACAAGAAGUUUAAAAAAAAAAAAAACUUUUUUCAAAACAACUCUAUUUAUUUAAUUUUAAAGCUUUGAUUGUGUUCUUUCAGUGAAGUUGGUAAAAGAGUCAAAACAAUUAUCUUAAAAACAAAAAUAACUCUUUGUACUUUAAUAUUUUUUUUUUCACAUUUAUAGAUUAAAAAAAGUGACCGAAAGUCAUUAAUGGCAGCUGGUAGCAUUCUUAAAAUAAAAAACGUGUACUUUUUGUACCUCUCUAAACAUCAUGGAUUCGGGUUUCCUGUGGACAGGGAACUCGGUUGCAGGGUCUUUUUGAUUGCGUUUUGCCCCAAAACGACGUCGUUUACAUCUAACAAUGUAUUACUUCUAAACGACAUCGUUUUAGAGUCAAAUUUUUUUAAACACAAAACGACGUCGCUUUUAAAAAAACGGAGUCAAAAUGACCUGCAACCCUGCAGGGAGCUCCUUCCCCGUAGGGACCCCCAAAUCAUCUCAUGGCAUGUAAGACCUGGUUACAAAUGACUGUGAUCAGAGUUUCAAAAAUCCCAAAACAAACUUUAUUUAUUUAGUUUAAAAGCAUCCAUGGUUAGGGAUGUUAAUUUGCCUCGAAUCCAUUAAUAGGAUAGGUUUGGGGUCUUAAUAAACGGGGGCGGAGAGGUAGUGAGAGAAAAAAAUAAGAACCUGAUUAGUAAUCGGGAUGGAUUUGGGUUUUCACUCUGCCACCCAAAACCGCUCGUUUUACCCUACCCAGAUUUAAUGGUGUAAAAAAUUAAAAUUAUCCCAUUUUUUAGAUAUACCGUAAUAUUCUACAAAUUAUUAUAUAUAUAUAUGUAUAUAUAUCUAUAUAUAUAUAAUUAAAAAGGGGGAGGAAAAAAUUUUCAAACUCUCACAGUUUUGGACGGGGUGGGGAGACAAACCCGCCCCGUUGUCAUUCCUAAUCCAUGUGUUGUCUUUAAGUGAAGUUGAUAAAAGAGUUAAAAAAUAUAUAUAUUAAAAACAAAAAUAACUCUAAAACUAAAGUAGCUAAAUAAUUUAAAAAAGGUUGUGAACUAUUCUUAUACUGUUAUUUUCUCUUAUCAAUUUUUUUUUAUUAAAUAAAAUUACUUGAAUAUUCCUUAUAUUCUACAUUAAUUUCACUUUAACUAUCAGAGGUGAUCAACUGUUCAGUUUGGGUGGGUAAGGUUUAUGGUUAAAUCAUAAACUGACAUAUUGACAGGCAUGGAAUGUGUGGAAACGAACUCGCACCGACAAUAAUUAAUGGCAUCUUGUAGAAUUCUAAAAAAAAAUAUGUUUACUACUUAUAUGAGUCCCUCUCUGUCAUGUGUUGGGCAUGUACUGCGUCGUUGUCAUGUAUAAGAAUAUCACUGGGGGAUUACUUGUUGAGUUCAGCCCAUCUGGUGAGUCCAAAACCCAUCUGGAUGAGUCCAACCAAUCUGGAUGAGGUCCAAUAGUCCGUAGUAACCGAAAUCCAAGCCCGAUUGGAGUUCAUAUGGAUGUCCAUGUGACGGUGAAACUCUCGAGUUAUCUAGAACUCUUUGAGAGUGUUAUCUACUUGAUUUUCCUAAUUAGAAUAUAGGAUUAAUGAUUAGGUCUUCUAUUAGGAAUCGACAACUCCUUCCUUGAAGCUAGUAAAAGGAUGGUAAGGUACUUAGAUUUUCUAGUGCGUUGUGUUGUGGGCUAAGAGCGGAGUGAGUGUGUGAGGUUAGGUUGAGAGGCAAGAUAGAGAGGAGAUUGUGAGAGAGGGUGUGAGUUUGAGCGAUCGGAGUCUCAUCCGUUGUCCCCAUCCCGUUGUAAUCCAUUCGUUUGAUAGGUGGAUUGGUGAUUUAUUCUCCGUUGUGGCCAGUAGGAUGUUGGUCGAACCACGUUAAAUCUUUGCUUGUCUUUUGUGUUGGUGUGAUUGAAUAUUAGUUUGAGCGCAACAAUUGUUAUCAGAGCCUAGGUGGAGGCGAUCGGAGCCCAGGUCGAAAUUCGGGUGUUCGGAAAAGUGCUCAAAAUUAAUUUUUUUUGAUUGCAUCAGGUUUUUUUUUUUGUUCCUCUCGUAGUACGGAACUCCAGCAACCCAAACCGGUCGGAAACGGAGUUCCGGAAGCGGCCCUAACGGCCGUUUGAAGAUCGCGCGAAGUGAGAUCAGUCUCAGCCACGCGCAAAGGAGGUCCCACGCGCUGUCACGCGCAAGGGGGAGGACCCACGCUGCCGCACACUUCAGGAGAGGUCCCCAGUGGGGGAGUGCAAGGCACCUCGGUGAGACGGUUUUGCAGACACUUUGGUGUGGAGGGUGCAUACACUUCGGGGGAAGUGAGUAGCCCAUUGAUGAGGUUUUUGGUUAAGGUAUCUCGGAUGCUUGUGUUGCAGUUUAUGGGGGAGUGGAUCAGAAGCUGUAGGAAAGGACAACUUGAAGUAUCGGAUUACCCUUCAGUGGGUGGAGGGGGAGAUUGUUGAGCCCAGCCCAUCUGGAUGAGUCAAAGUCCAGUAGACAAGCCCAAGCCCGAUUGGAGUUCAUAGGAGUGUCCAUCGUGUGACGGUGAUGAAACUCUCGAGAUCUAGAACAACUUUUGAGAGUGUGUAUUAUUACUUGAUUUCUAGUUAGAUUAGGAGAAAUGAUUAGGUAUUCUAUUUAGGAGUCGAAAACACCUCCUCCUGGUCUAUAAACGGGAUGGUAGGGUGCUUAGAUUUUUACGUGCGUUGUGUUGUGGGCUGAGAGCGGCGGUGCUGUGAGGUUAGAUGAGAGGUAAGGACAGAGAGAGAGAUUGUGGGGGAGGAGAGGGUGUGGAGUUGAGCGAUCGAAAGUCUCCUCGUUGUAAUCCAUUCGUUGAUAGAUGGAUGGUGAUUCUCUCCGUGGAUGUAGGCAUUGUUGGCGACCAAGUAAAUCUUUGCAUGUCUUGUGUGUGGUUUAUUGAUAUUAGUUUGAGCACAACAAUACUUCCCUUCUCUGUCUCAUUGUCAACAGUAAGACUGGAAUAGUAGAUGAUACGUGAACAAAAGGUUAAAAAAAAUUAAAAAAAUAUUUUAUAAAUAUUAGGUAAUUAUUUUUGUUAAAUAAAUAUCAAAUGUGUAAUAGAAAUAGAGAGUGACGGACUCAAAGGGGCGGCAAAAAGGUGAUUGUCAUCCUAAAAAUUUUUAAAAAAAUUUAACUAUUGAUAUUUUCAAAAUAGAUGGGUUAAUCACCUCAGGGCCUCACAAGACCUCAUUUAAAGCACUGGGCUGUGUGUUUCAUUCGUAGGAAAUUGAUUUUAAAAAUAGUUUUUUUUAAAAAAAAAUUAAAAACAAAAAAUAACUCUAAAACUCUAAGUAGAUAAAUAAUUUUAAAAAACGUUGUGAGUUAUUCUUACACUGUUAUUUUCUCUUAUUGUAUUUUUUUAUUAUGUUAAAUUACUCGAAUACUUCUUAUAUUCUAUAUUAAUUUCACUUUAACUAUUAGGGAUGACAACUGUUCAGUUUGAUUAGGUUAGGUUUAGGACCAAAUCAUAAACUGGAUCAUGAACAAUGGUUUGAACAUUUUUCUGAACAAUAGUAGCAUUCCAAAGAAAAAAAAGUGUAAUAAUUAUAUGAGUGUCCCUCUUUGUCUGUAACAAAUAAUUUUUUUUCAUAAAUAUUAGCUAAUUGUUUUUUUAAAUAAAUAUUAAAUGUGUAACAGAGAGAGUGAUGGACCCAAAAAAGAGUGAACUAUAGGCAAUGUCACCCUAAUUUUUUUUAAAAAAUCUAACAACUCAUAUUUUAAACUUUAAUUGAUACAACUAAAACUCAUUUUUCAGCAAAAAUCUAAAACGUAAUUUUAAUAUUUAAUUUGAAAAUGAACUCUAAUUGCAUAGAUUUUAACUUGAAAAAGAACUCUAGUUGCAUCGAUAAAGGCUUUAAAGGAAGAUUACUUUGAAAUGCAUCGUUCUUUCAAAAAAUAUUUGGCAAGAAUUAGUAAAUUUUGUCAAAUAUGUAAAAAAAUAGGUAAUGGACCUAAGGGGGGCGGUUAGGGGCGAUCGCUGUACCAAAUGUUACAAUAAAUAUUGUAAUAUACAUCCGUCCUUAUAUAUCUAUGAAUCUAUCUAUAUAUAUAGUACAAAUAAUAAAUAUAAAUAUAAGUAUUCUUUAUUAAAGUUUACCGGAAGAUCACUGCACAUGAAUGAAAUUGAUGGAUAACGAGGCAUGUCUUGUGUCAAUUCCAGAACAAUUCAAAUACAUGUAUUGUGCGUACUUUUGAAGUCAGGAACAAGAUCAAUUAUAAUCGAGAUGCACAAUAUAGCAGAAAAGAACGAGCCAUUCUCAAAAGACAAUUUGAAAAAUGUUUACGGACACCCUCUCAUCAAUACAAAACUUUUAUUAUUUUUUUGUUUUUUGUUUUCUCUGAGCUGAGGACACCCGCUCUUCAAUUAACAAUAAUACAAAUUGGAGCUCAGACGAGGGGUGUCAGAAGUCUUAAAUAUCUUAUCAGUUGAAACUCCAUCGGUAAGAGAAGAGAGUAACUUCCUGCAAAAACCAGUCAUUAAUACUUGUUAUCCUUAUUCCCCAAUCCAACGAAAAAACCAUUCCGUAAUGUAGUAAAGCACAUUAGGCGAUUCGAGAGAAAGAAUGGGAGCAUAUUAAUUGGCCCUACGUUUUUUCAUCUAGAAUAGCUCGCUAGGGAAAUUUGGAAAUAAUUGUAUCACCGCAAACAAAAUCUGUCUGCAAACACAUGACCAACAAAUGGAAGCAGUUGCCUCUACCAUCUGCAAGCUGAGAAGAAAAGUUGCUUAUAAGCAAAGAAAAUAGACCAUUUUCCUUUGAGUUUUGAGUAGUCUCAUCGCAAAGAAUGCCCAAACUACAUUUUUUGAAUAGAAACGGAUAAGCAAUCUCAUGGAAGCAUGAAUAGAAAAAAGUCAUGAGAAUAUUGCAAGGAUGUUCAAAAGGCUCUAUGCUCCUCUCUUACUUUUUCACCAGACACAUUUCAAAACGGUCAAGCUUUCCAAGUGCCACAAGCGGCAGCACCAAUCUCUCUCUCUCUCUCUCACCCCAUCCCCUCUCUGUUUUGCCAACCUUGUUGGCCUUCCAUUCAACAGUCUUUUAGAUGCACAAAUGGCUUGGAGUACAGAUUUCAAUGCCAGAUCUAGAUCUAUGAGACUGCCUCACUCCUUUAACUAUUAAGAACAUUAUUGCAAGCCAGUGAUCACUGGAAACUGAACUUUCCUAAUAGCACGUGAAUGAAACUUGGAACUGCAUAAUUCACCAUUAUAUAUUUGUGUUAACGAUUACUUUUUUUUUUUUUUUGUCCCCGUUAUCUUCGUACACGACUCUUGGAAUAGAGCUUUUGUGAAUCAAAUAUGUUGUUUUAUCAUGAUUCGAAAGUAUCAGAAAAGAAGACAAAAGCAUGAUAACAUGGAUGAAAUAAAAGCGAACGAAAAAAAAAACAAUAAAUCAAUUACAUAUGACAAAUAAUAAUGGUUAAAAAAGGAGGAAACAGUAGUAAAAGAAAAAAGAAAAAACGAGAAUAGGAAUCAGAUGCAUUUUAUGAAAUGCUUUUGCGAUCAAAACAAAUGAAGAAAAAGAAGUUUGAAUGAAGCUAAUCCUAAUAGCGAAUACAGCCCCAGGGAAACAGGACGGUUUCAUGGAAAUAUCGUAGGGCAACCAAAAUAUAAAAAGAAUGAAAUUAGAGACUUUUCUCUGAGAUGUUGUAAAUUAAUUAAGAAGACCCGAGUGAGGAGGCAUAUUCUCCAGGGUUAGAAACAUCCACCAAAAAAGUAAAAAAUAAGUCAUUUUUAAAAUUGCAAAUAAACCUCACUUUAGAAUAUUAACAUUGAUUGCAUCCCGUUAUGUUACAUGGAAUUUCUAAAAGUUGUAAGUACCCGUGGGGAUACUCGACACUAAGACAGAUGUUAGGAGAUUGUGCAGAAUAUUUAGUUGGAACAUGUAAUUAGAAAAAAAUCUUGGAGUAUCAAAUUAACCAUGCAAGAUGUUAAAAAAAUUAAUUUGUAAUUUUAAAUUAUGUAGAGAACUAUUAGAAUGUCUAGAAGGAAAGUAGUUAGCUCUAUAAAUAGAGCCUCCUAGUUCCUUUGAUUAAGUGGAAUGAAUUAGAAAAAAACUCCUCAAAUUAAUCUCGACCCCAAACCAUUUUGGUAUCAUAGCAAAAAAAUCCCAAAUCCAUCAUUGUCAGAGAAAAAAAACUCUCCUACAUUCACCAUGGAAGCCAACUCCUCCGCUUCCAAUUAUGCACAACCUCUCAUCGCUAUUUUGAGGAGAGAUAUAAUAUUGGAGCAUUUAACAUUGUAAGACUUUUCAUCUCACCAAGACUUGUGGGAUCUUGUUGAAGCGGUACGAGGAAACCGUAAAAUGACGAAGCAGAAGCAACUUUGGACGGAAGCAAAGAAGAAGAAAUGGAAGGAGAACAGAAGAUAAGAUAUGCAUUGUCUCUACUAACAUUCAACGUGGGGUAGCAAAUCUAUCUUUCAAGAAUUUUGGGUGUAAACUUCAAGAAAGUAUGGGACCAUUAAAGUUGAAUAUCAAGGUUAUUAUAAGGCUUAUCCGCAAAAAUAACUUCAAACAUUCUGGACAGACCUUUGAUAAUCUAGUAUGACGGAACAUGAAUCCGUUCAAGUAUUCUUUCCCGAUUUUGCUGGAAUUGUCAUCAAUUCGAAGUUUGGGUGAUGAUACCCCUUAACGAUAAAGAAUGGUUGAAAUUUUUUUAAGAAGUUUGCCUCCAAGUUUGAGCAUAUUGUAGUCUCUUAUCGAAGAAUCCAAGGAUUUAUCUAAACUUACACUCGGACAUGAACUAUGAGUUCCCUCUCGAGGCACAUGAGCAGGUUCACAAAUUAAUCACUAGAGCAAGCAUUUCAAAGCAAAUCAAUUUUGGAGGAAAGAAACAAGAAAAUUCUGAAAAGGGCUCAUCUCGAGGAGGAGUCAUGAACGGAAAAGGAUGUGGAGGCCAAAAUGCAUUUCAAGCCCGGAACAAAGGAAAAGGAUACGACAAUCAAAGGAAUUCUAAUGGCGGUAACUCGAACUCUUCUUGCAUUAUUUACAAAAUAUUCAAUCAUGCAUCCAAAGAUUGCAGAUUUAAGUGCAAGAGAUGCAAAGUUCCUAAUCAUUCUUAUCGAGAUUGUUGGUUUAAUAAUGAGAAAAACAAAGCUAAUUUUCUGGAACAAAAUGAAGCAGAAUAAUUAUUCUCUUGCAUGAAUGCACAAGAAGAAUCAGAUAACAUUUGGUUCUUGGAUAGUGGAUGUAGUAAUCAUAUGUAGGUGAUCGUAAAAAGUUUGUGCAGCUUGAUGAUAAUGUCUCUUCAAAAGUAAAGCUAGGAGAUGAAAAGCUGCAAAAUGUUGAAGGAAAAUGAGUUAUCGCCGUCUACACAAAGGGAGGUAACAAAAUAAUUUCUGAUGUCCUUUAUGUUCCUGGGCUAACUCAAAAUUUAUUAAGUGUAGGCCAACUACUGCAAAAGGACUGUGCACUUAAAUUUGAUAAUGGAGAGUGCAUAAUUAUUGAAAAAAAGAAAAAAUUUAAAGUGGCCAAAGUAAAUAUAACUCCAAAUAAAAUUUUUUCUUUAAUGAUGCCACUUAAUGAAAAUUUUGCUCUUAAGGGAGAAAAAGUUGAGGACUCAUACAUGUGGCAUCUAAGAUAUGCCCACUUAAAUUACAAGCAUGAGAUUGCUAAAGGAGAAAAAUAUGGUGAAAGGGCUAGCAAAUAUUGAUAAAAUUGAUAAAGUUUGUGAAGGGUGUAUAUAUGGGAAGAUGCAUAGACUCUCAUUUCCAAAGUAUGCUUGGAGAGCUAAAGUGCCUUUAGAAUUGGUGCAAUUUGAUAUUUUUGGCCCUACAAGAACACCAUCUCUUGAAAGAAAAGAUAAUUUCUCUCCUUUUCGUUGAUGAUUAUAAAAGGAUGAUGUGGCUUUAUAUCCUUGACAAAAAUCUUCAAGUAGUUGCAAACCUCUUGGUGGAAAGACAAAGUGAAGACAAAUAAAGACACUUUGGACGGAUCGUAAACUCGGUGGCGAAUUCAUUUAUACUCCAUCCUGGAGUACUGCAAGAAAAAAGGAAUUAAGAGGAAACUUACAGUUCGGAAACACCUCAAUAAAUGGCAGUAGCAGAGCGCAAAAGAAUCGCAGAUUGCAGAGAUGGCUUGAUGAAGCCAUGCUCAAAGGCCAAGGCCUGCUACAAACACAUUCUGGGAUGAAGUGUCAACACUGUGUUUCACCUCAACUCGAUCUCCCAUAAGACAGUUCAAAACAAAACACCAUACAAGGCAUGCAUGGUUAUACAGAGAAACCAAAGGUAAAUUUUCUCAAGAUUGUUGGAUGGUAUUGCAUAGCAUUGUUUUCUCAGAAGAAAGGAAAAAAUUUGAUGAAAAAUGGGAGAAAUAUUUUUCAUAGGAUAUAGUGACGAAUCUAAAGGAUAUCGUCUCUACAAUCCAAACACAAAUAAAUUUAUGGUUUCUCGAGAUGUGAUAUUUGAUGAAGCUGCUACAUGGAAGUAGGUGGAUAAUUCCUUCCAAAAGCAAAAGUUUUUUGAGCCUCUUGAUGCAGGAAAUAGGCAAAAGACAUUGACUCCAACCCUAGUCCGAACCAAAGCCCACAAGCCGGUCCAAAAAGCUUGUCAUCAGAGGAUCUCAAUCCAACAAGAAAGGUACGUUCCUUGCGGGACAUAUAUGGCUCGUGUGAUUUUGCCUUCACUUGUAAACCACAUAACUUUGAAGAAACUGCAAAUGAAGAAAUGUGGAGAAAGACAAUGGACGAUGAAAUUGUAAUUAUCACGAAAAAUCACACAUGGGAUCUUGUGGAGUUAGCAAAAGGCAAAGAUGUAAUCGGGUUUAAAUGGGUCUAUAAGACAAAAUACAAAGAAGAUGGAUCAAUUCAAAAACACAAAGCAUCUUAGUGGCAAAGGCUACUUCACAACAACCUGGAGUGGAUUUCAAUGAAACAUUUGCCCCUGUUGCUCACAUGGAGGAAACAUCAGAACCAACUCUUCCUUGCGGCACAUUAAGAGCUUCCAGUUAUAUCAAGCUUGAAGUCAAAUCUACAUUUCUCAAUGCGAAUUAGAAGUUUAUGUGGAGCAACCGCCCAAGGCUACCACUAUCAACGAAAAAGAAGACAAAGUUGUUUACCGACUUCGGGGAAAAGCAUAUAUGGCUUGAAGCAAGCACCUCAAGCCUGGAAUAACAACAAUGACAAGUACUGCAUGUCAAAAUAGUCUUGAAGACAGCCGAAAGUGAACAAUCACUCUGUGUAAAAAAAGGAGGGCGGGUACGCAAGAUUUUGUAUCAUUGUUGCCUGUAUGUUAAUGAUUUAAUCUACAUAGGACCCAAUACUGCAAUACUGGAGGAAUUUUAAAAAAGACCAUGAUGGAGUAUGAGGAUGACUGAUCUCGGACUUAUGAAUAUUUUUCUCAGCAUCCAAGGCCCAUCCAAAGGAGAAAAGAGGGAAGAAAUUUUUAUCUCACAAGAAAAAUAUCUUGAAGAUUAUUUAAAGAAAUUUCGCACAGAGUAAACUACAAGCCAAUUUCUACCCACUCUCUCUAAAUGACAGUUACAGCUGAAUGAUGGAGCAGAAAAGAUCAAUGCCUACAGCCUUUAGAAAUUGGUGGUCCCUUAAACAUCUUACUCAGUACAAGGCCAAAUAUUGUAAAUUCUGUGAAUCUUAUUUCCAAGUAUGCACGAGCCGAGCAAGCUAAACUACAUUCCAUGAUAGCAAAUGAUUCUUCGUUUUUUUUUUUUUUUUUUUUUUAGUUAUCUUCAAGGGGACGAAGAAGAAACUCAGCAUCAGGAUAUACAAAAGCAAAUGACAGCAAACUUCACUGCUAAACCGAUGUGAUUGGGACUGGAUCAAUUGAAUGAAGUAGAAAGAGCACGUCUGGCCACCUAUUGCUAAGCUGGGGAGUCUAAUAUUAUCGCUGCGUGUCUAAAAGGCAAAAGACACUUCUCUAUCAUCACAGAAGCCCCCCAAACUAUAUAACAACUAUCGAUGGCAACAGGUGAGGCUAUAUGGCUUAGAAAAAUUCUUACAGGACGAUGAAGCAUAAAGAGCAAGCCCUACACUCAUUACUACGACCAAUAUGUCAGCCUAACAAUGAGCAAAAAUUAGUUUUCCACGGCAAAAUUAAAGCACAUUGAGACUUCGAACACAACUUUAUCAGAGACUUGGGUGCAGAAUGGAGAAAUUCAGCUUGAAUUUGUCAAUAUGAGGAGCAAUAGCGACAUAAGAGCCAAAGCAGUGACAUUAGAUAAAUUCUUCUCAGUUCUUGAAGUUAUGAAAAUUACAAAUUCGGGGAGGAGGGUUAAAAAAGUAAUUAUAAUUUUUCGAAUAUGUUAGAACUAUAUAGAAGGUCUAGAAGAAGAGUAAUGUUAGAAUUAUGUAGAACUAUCUAGAAUGUCUAGAAGAAAGUUAGCUCUAUAAAUAGAUCCUCCUAGUCUUCUUUUGUUUAAGUGAAAUGAAUUAGAAAAAAACUUUCCUUCAACUUUAAUCUAACACCCCAACAGUAUAGAACUCUUAUAUUAUGCAUGAAAUGCAUAGUGCACCUUGUAAGCAUCUCUAAUCCAAGAAAAUAGAAGAAAUAUACUAAGUAAUAUGAAUAUAUUGGCGUGUUCCCAUGUCCUUGAAAAGAAAAUUAGAUGAAUCUGACACUGGAAGACAUAUACCCGUAAACCGUACUGCACCCGCACCCGACACCAUGUAACAUAGAUCCUCCAGAUUAGAACAGAUUUGCAUCCUUGGAUUUAUGUCUAUACGCAUAAGGAAUUUUCCUUCCAAAACAUAUGUGAGAGGGAGUUAAUCCUGUUGUCAAAGAGAGUAGAAAAUGUAAGUUGCGAGUGUACACAAUGGCCAGCAUGUCCAUUACUUGAUCUUACUCCACCUCUUACAUCCUCUCAAUACCUAUUGAGAUAUAUUGCGGCUACUGGCCCUUACUCAUGCAGCCAGAGUUGUAAGUAUAUUCCUUGUCAUAAAUAAAAUGUAUCACUUCCUACUCUUUCCAUUCACGGCUUCAGUCUUCAUAUAAGUAUGCUAUUUACAAUACUAUAUGACAGCUCAUAAAGCAAACAUUCUAAAACAGCAAGCUAGGAAGUCCUCGAAAAGGUAGAUUAAUAUAUGUAAGCUAUAACUUUUUAUUCUAGGUUUAUAACACAAAGGAACACUGCUUUAGUUUUUUUACAGUAAAAAUCUUAAACAGGAAAAACAUAAAAUUAUAAAACAAAGUAGAUCUUUAAAUAGUAUAACAAACGGAAUUCUAAUAAAAAAUGCAACCUCAGACAGUCUAUUUCUGUCCCACGAGCACAACCCCGUGGCCUGCGGGCUAUAAAGCUUCUGGCCUAGCCAAAGCAGACUGAAAAAGAGUAAUAUUUCCAAAAUUAAAAAGUUGUUUCAGGAGAAAUAGCUACUUCAAACUUAAGCGCAUGAAAAAUGCAAUACCACCUGUCAUAAGCCACGUUCACCGUCCAAUUAUAUCAGAUUGGAUAAGUACUGGAAUUAUCUCUCAACACCGAAGAUUCCCAAUUUUGAACCUUCCUAUUUAAGAAGCCACAAAAAAUAAUUGUAUAUACUAAUGUUGAUUAGCAGGCAAGAGCCUUCAAUUUGUAAUAAUCGACGUCUUGAAAUGUAACAUGAGCCAAGGCAUAAAUGAAACCUGAUAUGGCCAUUCUUUGAAGGUUUCUAGCCCUUAAGCCCGCACAGCGGUCUCUUGCGGCACUGAAUCCUGACUCAAUCAAAGACGGAUGGGAUCAUUUGAAAAGGUCCAGUGGAAAAAUUAAUCCAGAGAAAUAUCAAUAAACAUGCAUAUGAAGGCAAACAAAAAACUGUAAUCUAGGAUUGUUAACGUGCUACAUAGAUAUUGAGAUAAACUUUGACGUGAAUCAUGACUCUCGUGCCACAAGGGCCAAUCAGAAGAGUAUAUAUAAGCAAGCCAAUGACACGUUGCACUUUGUAACUGGCUGUUUUAUGAAGUGAAGCCGACAAAGAAACUAUGUCAAUCCACAUGACGACAAUGAAAACCUGUUUAAAGACCCACAUUGGAGGAAUAAUAUCGAGAGUUGGCAGUAUAAAUCAACAAGCCAUGAGGUUACUUUUGGUCUGGGCGGCCACCAUAUACAAGUUUGUUCGGCCCCAGAAUCUUAUCGACUUGAGGGGUUAGCCCACCCGAGUACUUAAAAAGCCUUCUGAUAACCCAAUCGAAAUAUCUGUUCAGUCGAUUGGGGUCUAGGGAUUCCAUAGUUCAUAGCUAAUUCAAAAGUUCUCCCCCAAUGAUAAAGAAAGUCCUUGGGCUUCCAUAGUUCAUAACAUUCAAUAAAGUGAGGGACACUCAUGUGAAUUCAUAUGCUCUCAUCUGUCCAAUCAAUAUGUAUUUUAUUAUCUGCCAUGGGCAGUCAAAGCAGUGAUGAAGCAAGAAUUGUAAUCUCAGAAACAUACACUAUGAACUGACGUGCGUCUUUGCUUGAAAGAUGACUCAUAGAGCUGCAACACAGUGUUAGGUUGUAAACAAGGUUGGGUCGCUGAAAAAUAUUCCAUGGUUUGUUUUGAUUUCCCCGGAGAUCCUAAGAAAACUCUCGAGACUUUUUGGAGGUUUCGCAUGUAACUAAGGUUAAUAUCAUCACGGGAGGCUACUUGCAUUGCUUGAUUCAAAGAGAGAGCCAAAGAUCGAUGGACUCCAUCAUUGGGUAUUGUAAAAAACCAGCAAGAUGAAGUGAGAAUAGUGCUUCCAGUAAUAAAAAGGUUGAGAUAGUUAUCUAUGACCUGUGAAUUAAGGAUUCAAAAGAUGUUGAGAUCAUAAGGCAUGAGAAUGGGGUACAUGAAUCUAGGUUCAACUAGCUCACAUCUUUUGCACAGCACUUACAUGGUGAUAAAAGUGUGGUAAGAAUUCCAAAUUUAUUUGCGAGGUUGUCUUUUCCCCUAUUUAGAUGACAUAGAGGGCGGCUGUCAUUCCCCAUUUAGAUGACAUGAGAUUUUGCUCCCUCCAGAGAUUAAUCAUACUCCAUUGUAUUGUGUGUAGCUCAAAGGAUGGGAAGAGUUACGACUAGACUUGAAGAUUUUUUUAACUUUUUUUUUGGGUGCGUGUGUGUGUGUGUGUGGAUUUGGGGGGUGGGGUUGUGCUGGCUCAUUGCUAGGUCAGUCUAUCAAGCCUUCAACAUACUUCUUCCUUAUUCACACUUGCAGCCUCUAUGGUGGUGCACCUUGAGAAGUUGCAAGAGGAUUUCGCCCAUAUUCGAAAUAAUUAACGUGUCACUUGGUUGUGGGAUGUUGUUUUGCUUCCCAAUUAGGGCGGAUCUUUUAGGCAGUAGUAGGUUGUGGAGUUUAAUAACCUUUGCCGGGUAAUGCGAACAAAAAAUGAGAAUACGGUGCGCCGAGCGUUAUAAUGAUCGUGGCAACGGAAGUGAGAGUUAUCGAGUUAUUUAGGGCAUUGACAAGAUAACAUAUGUGAUAUCUGAUUUAUACUUAUUAGUCUUUUCCAUUCCACAGCAGCAUGUUUAGGCAAUCUCAUUAUUAUAUCAUUUUGGUGGAUGUUUGCAGCAUCUCAUCUCAUAUAAACUUGUAUACUUUGUGUGGCUGAUAUUGAGUGGUCCUGGACCCAACCAAUACCCACAUAGGAGCAUACCAACACACUCAGACAGGGAAGUGCUCUAUUUUGCAUCAAUGGAGGAACAUAACGCUCAAAAUUUUGUGAUCCAAGGACAGGUAAAAUGUUAGUUCAAAUUUAGGAUUGGUUUGCCAAGCAGUUCCUACUUGAUUCCAGUGUCCAAGAGGUAUUAGGGAAUUACCACUUUUAUCUACAAACAAAAAACAUGACUAUUUACUUGAGAGAGAAGGGGGCGAAUGGAAAGGCAACACAUCCAAUUAGGAAAAAAAUGAGAAAAGAAAAUGGCUUUAAGAACAGGUGAAGGAACUAUAGCACAUAUUAAAGGUGAUGUGCCAUGAACCAUGGAUAUCCGUCAAAAGGGAGAGAAUUGUCCACUUAUGAAAUCCUCUACUGCUUCUCUCCUCACAAAUCAACGUAAAGAUACCAUAGGAACUGUCUACGAAGUAAUCUGUUUGUUUAAGUAUGAAACGGAAUUCCAAGAGGCAUGUAG